rnacentral:rRNA from 1 species
GACGAACGCUGGCGGCGUGCUUAACACAUGCAAGUCGAACGGCGCCCAACCAGUGGCAACACUGGGGAAGGUGCAGUGGCGAACGGGUGAGUAACACGUGAGCAACCUGCCUCGAAGACUGGGAUAACAGCGGGAAACCGCUGCUAAUACCGGAUACCCCCAUCGGAUCGCAUGGUCUGAUGAGGAAACGAAUUUCGCUUCGAGAGGGGGCUCGCGGGCUAUCAGCUGUUGGUGGGGUAACGGCCCACCAAGGCUACGACGGCUAGCUGGUCUGAGAGGACGACCAGCCACACUGGGACUGAGACACGGCCCAGACUCCUACGGGAGGCAGCAGUGGGGAAUCUUGCGCAAUGGGCGAAAGCCUGACGCAGCAACGCCGCGUGCGGGA